ACGGAGGGUGCGAGCGUUAAUCGGAAUUACUGGGCGUAAAGCGCACGCAGGCGGUUUGUUAAGACAGGUGUGAAAUCCCCGGGCUCAACCUGGGAACUGCACCUGAUACUGGCAAGCUUGAGUCCCGUAGAGGGGGGUAGAAUUCCAGGUGUAGCGGUGAAAUGCGUAGAGAUGUGGAGGAACACCGGUGGCGAAGGCAGCCCCCUGGACGAAUACUGACGCUCAUGUGCGAAAGCGUGGGUAGCAAACAG
rnacentral:rRNA from 1 species